CUUAAAUGACCCUGGCUGUUAAUAGGACGUUAAAACAAAACAAAUAAACCAAAAGAAGUGCUAAAUUAAGUUUGAUAUGUACAUAUUUGAGGGUCAAUCUGUUUCUUUUAACGUUUUCAUAUUGGAAGUGCUAAAUCAUGUUUGUGCUAUUUACACCUUCCAUGUGCUAUUUGUAUGCUAAUUCAUCAUUUUGCUGAUCUGUUAAAAUUGAUGAUACACUAAAAUUUGAGUGUGCCAAAAUCAGAAUGUUAAUAGUAAUCUGUCUGAAACCCAUGUGUUCUGCAGUUCAUGGCUCAAUAAUUAGCUUUAAGUCAUAGUGUAUUUAUGUAUGAUUUCAUGUGACUUCUGUGGAAUUAAUUGGUCUAUUAGUUUUAUCAAGGCUUUUUGUAAUAGGUCAUAUCAGUUUAAUAUAAUAAUAUAUUGUACACAAUUAAGCUGUACAAACCACUGCUUUGUCCUAUAACAUUGGCAGGACCAAUACAGUACACUGUGGCACCGAGAGACAUUUUGUCCUGAUCGCACAGUACACCAUGGCAUUCGUGCAUGCAGCUUCUCAUUUUCCCCAGAAGCUUUUGAGUUUGAAAUGUCACAAUAUAAUGUACUGCUCCAUGCCAUCACAACUGGAGCUAAUCCUUGGCUAAUAAUGACUCACCACUCCCUGUAGCUUGUUCUGCUGGAACUGAAUACCAUUUGUUGACGUCAAAUCUGCCUCUGAAGACUGCCACAAAAAUUGCCUUUGUAAAGACAUGGAGUCUGCCAGUGCAGAUUCAAUUUGUUUAGCAUUAUAAAGGGUAUUUCUAUUGGAGGACCAGACUGUAUAUAUAAUAUGAUUUAGUCAUUAGGGGAUUUUUUUUUUCCAAUUGGCAAUAUAUGUACUGAAAAUCUUAGAUUUCCCAAAUAUAUUUUUAUGUGUUUCUACCGAUGAGACCAAUUCAUAAUUCCAAAAUCAUAAGAAGGUGAUGCAGUUGAAAUAAGAAUUGGUAAAGAUCUAUUAAUGGGAAAUAUUGUAUUUAUGAUUAUAAUAUUUUUAAAGAUAACUAAAGCUGUGAAAUUUAGUAAAUCAGUGAAAAUAAAAUGAAAAGUUCUUGUUUUGAAGAGUGGUCUCCCCCUGUAUAUUACCAAAUCUCUGUGUUGUAGAGUUGUCUCCCCUGUAUGUUACUAAACCUCUGUGUUGUAGAGUUGUAUUACCUGUAUAUAUAUAACCAAACCUCUGUUGCAAAGUUGUCUCCCCUGUAUGUUACCAAACAUCUGUGUUGUAGAGUUGUCUCCCCCUGUAUGUAACCAAACCUCUGUGUUGUACAGUUGUCUCCCCUGUAUGUUACCAAACCUCUGUGGUGUGGAGUUGUCUCCCCUUGUAUGUUACCAAACCUCUGUGUUGUAGAGUUGUCUCCCCUUGUAUGUUACCAAACCUCUGUGUUAUAGAGUUGUCUCCCCUUGUAUGUUACCAAAUCUCUGUGUUGAAGAUUUGUCUCCCCUUGUAUGUUACCAAACCUCUCUGUUGUAGAGUUGUCUCCCCUUGUAUGUUACCAAACCUUAAGUAUCGUGGAUUUAUCUCCCUUGUAAGUUACUUAACCUUCAUGUUAAUAUAGAGUUAUCUCCCCUGUAAGUUACUUAACCUUCACAUAAAUGUGGAGUUAUCUCCUCUGUAAGUUAUCCAACCUUUGCUGUGUUUUAGAGUUGUCUCCCCCUAUAUGUUCCCAAGCCUUCUCUUUGUUGCUCCCUGUGUUUUUUCCUCGAUCAUAAAGAAUAGAAAUGUAUCUCAAAGUCAAUUGACUUACUAAAGGGUUCUCAACCAGUUUUUAGCAUUUUUGAAUUUUACCUGUGUAAGAAAUGACUUAAACACAUAAUACAAUUCGAAAAAUCAACUAAUUGAUGCUGAACUCCUGAAGUUGAAAUAUCUAGUUAUCUAUUUUAUGAGUGUUAGUCGGCAUUAUUAACAAAAUUGUGUGCCAAAAUUACUGUUUGAUUUUUGGUAUAAUUUGAAAUACAUGAACUAUAUUGAGAAAAUAUUGAUGAUAAUCCAGUCAGUUUAAACUGUUGCUUUAAUUAAAAUGAUUAUUCACAUAAUUAUGGUCAUGCUGCAAAUCUGCAACAGGUAGCUGUUUAAUGGUAGGUUUGCUAAAUACAAGGCUGUGAUCUUCACCGAACUUAACUAUUUGAUUUACCCAGAAUGUAACGUGUGAUUUCCCUCUAACAAACUGGGAGAUGUUUGUUUCAUGUUUUUUAUUAAUAGGUACCUGUGUUAUAGUUAAUGAGGCCUGGAAGCUUUUGAGUAAAGGUAGAAUCCAAUUAGUUUUAGAUCAGAGACACUAAUAUCACAUACUGUGAGUGCUCAGCCAUACUGCAGGGCCAUUUUCGUUUAUUUUACGGUCCUAACUGUUUGACCAGAGUUGUAUGUUCCUUUAUGAAAUAACGAUGGACCUAGUGAUUUCAUGUUGCUUUCAGAUGAGCAUUGAAAAAAACCCUUCAAAGCUUGAAUCAACAUCUGCAGGUCUGUGUUAUGGUUUUAUUAGAUUUAUGCAUGAAGUAAUAUAAUAUUAAAAGGUGAUGAACCGGUUUGUUAAAAAAAAAAAACGAGGCCCUUAGUCUAGCAGUCUCUCAAGUCUUGUCAGGUUCUACUGUAUUAUAAACCAGAGUUCAGUCUAGUCAGGUUCUACUGUAUUAUAAACCAGAGUUCAGUCAAGCCAGGUUCAACUGUAUUAUAAACCAGAAUUUCAGUCUAGCUAGGAUCUACUGUAUUAUAAACCAGAGUUCAGUCCAGUCAGGUUCUACUGUAUUAUAAACCAGAGUUCAGUCUAGCCAGGUUCUACUGUACUAUAAACCAGAGUUCAGUCUAGUCAGGUUCUACUGUAUUAUAAACCAGAAUUCAGUCAAGCCAGGUUCAACUGUAUUAUAAACCAGUGUUCAGUCUAGCCAGGUUCUACUGUACUAUAAACCAGAUUUCAGUCUAGCCAGUUUAUAUUAUACUAUAAAUCAGAGUGUUCAGUCAAGUCAGGUUCCACUCUACUAAAAACCUGUUUGGAAUUCACUGAUGUCAACCCCCUGUAUGUUUUUGUUUCAGUUUUUCAAGUUAUUAACCUAAUGUACAAUUAUUUUGUUUUUUUUCUUCUAUUUUUGUGAAUGUGUCUUAAUCAUACAAGAUAUAUAAAUGUUUUUAGAUCUGAGUCAUUGUUACAUUUAUGAUGUAGGACAUACGCUAUGUAUAUCUAAGCAUUAUACAGCGACUAAUUCCGGCUAUCAGGUUUUUUUAUGUUCCACUCAACUUCCCUUUAUGUGUCAUUGAUUUAGGGAGCUGUAGCUUCCCCUGUAGUGGUGGCGGAGGGUGGUUAUUGAUUUUGUGAUAAUUAGAUUGAUGAUCAUGGCUUUUUGUGGCUGUGUUAAAGAUAUGACAUUAACUGUUAUGGAUGUUUUUGAGGAUUGUGUGGAGCUCAUUGAUACCCUGUGCAAUAUUUGGCGGGGGAGGCAAUCAAUUUUGCGAUGAUUACAUUUUCUAAUCAGUCAUUAUGAGUAUUUGGUUGUCUGGAAUCAAUUGUAUUGUAUGUGAGAUAUAUCUGUCAGGGUUCACCAUGCCCCUGUGUUGUCUGUCCUCACUGUCCUGUACAGUAGAGAAGUUUGUCAUGCAUUAUCCAUGCCCCUGUGUGGAUUGUCCUCACUGACUUGUCCUCUAUGCCCCUGUGUUGAUUCACUCCUCACUGUCCUUGUACAAUAGAUAUAUAUGUCAGGAUUCUCCAUGCCCCUGUGUUGAUUCACUCCUCACUGACCUGUACAAUAUAUAUAUAUGUCAGGAUUCUCCAUGCCCCUGUGUGGACUGUCCUCACUGACUUGUCCUCCAUGCCCCUGUGUGGACUGUCCUCACUGACUUGUCCUCCAUGCCCCUGUGUGGACUGUCCUCGCUGACUUGUCCUUCAUGCCCCUGUGUUGACUCGGUCUUCACUGUCCUGUACAGUAGAGAUGUCUGUCUGGAUGCUCCAUGACCCUGUGUUGAUAUAUGAAAGUGUAGCGGAACUGGACUGGGUCGCUCAUCGGCGACCAGGUAGCUCAGUGGUAGAGUGUCCGUCUAGUGCGCGUGUUCGGAGGGUCCCGGGUUCGAAUCUCGGUCUGGCUGCUACAUUUUCUCCUCUCCUGUGACAUAAUUGGCGAGCUUGCCUACCCUUGUUUAAAGCAUUAGGAGUAUGCUUAGCAAGGGGAUAUACGAACUGGUGGUCUUCUGGUCUUCGGGGGCGAAGACUUGAAAAUAAGGAGGGAGGAAUGUAGCAAAACUGGACUGGGUCGAUCAUCGGCGACCAGGUAGCUCAGUGGUAGAGUGUCCGUCUAGUGUUCGGAGGGUCCCGGGUUCGAACCCCAGUCUGGCUGCUACAUUUUCUCCUCUCCUGUUAUAAAAGUAUAGAUAAGUUUCCUAUGGAGUGUUUACCAUUUCCAUGGCAACUAAAUAAUAAGGACUGAAGUUUGAAAGUUUUUAUCCUUAUUUCCAUAGGAACCUGACAAUUAUUAUGAAAAAAAGUUUUAAGUAUGAGAGGUUUCUGAAGGUUAUGGGUAUGAAAAAUAUGUUUCAAGUUUGUGCGUAAUGAUUCCUAACAAGUGUUUUUAACUUUAAAGAUGUAAUUAAUUAGUGCAUCAAUCAACUAUUAAUUACCUAUUAACUAUUAACGGUAUUGGGGUCCAUUCUUUUAAUCAUCCUAUUUUGUAUUGUACAUCUUUUUGAACCAUUUGUGCAACAGUUUUUGAAAUAUUGAUUUUAUUUAGGUUCAUUUCAAAUGUCUUAGAUAUGUUCAUUGAAGCAGAAAAAAAAUCCAAAAAACUUUAAAAUGUUAAUUGGCAAUCAAAACAGGUACUUAUUUCACAUUAACAUCUACCAUAAAUUGUUCAGUAGAUAUGGAUCAAAGGACCAAUUACUCGGAAUUGAUUGUUUGGUUUAGGUCAAUGGCAGACAUUCACUUGAAUACUCCAGUGGUAGUUUAUGGGAGGUUUGUGAGAUGUAGACGUUUGUGAGAUGUAGAUGUUUGUGAGAUGUAGAUGUUUGUGAGAUGUAGACGUUUGUAAGAUGUAGGCGUUUGUGAGAUGUAGACAUUUGUGAAAUGUAGACAUUUGUGAGAAGUAGAUGUUUGUGAGAUGUAGACGUUUGUGAGAUGUAGACGUUUGUGAGAUGUAGACGUUUGUGAGAUGUAGACGUUUGUGAGAUGUAGACGUUUGUGAGAUGUAGAUGUUUGUGAGAUGUAGACGUUUGUGAGAUGUAGAAGUUUGUGUGAUGUAGAUGUUUGUGAGAUGUAGACGUUUGUGAGAUGUAGACAUUUGUGAGUUGUAGGUGUUUGUGAGAUGUAGACGUUUGCGAGUUGUAGGUAUUUGUGAGAUGUAGAUGUUUGUGAGAUGUAGAUGUUUGUGAGAUGUAGGUAUUUGUGAGAUGUAGAUGUUUGUGAGAUGUAGGUGUUUGCGAGUUGUAGGUAUUUGUGAGAUGUAGAUGUUUGUGAGAUGUAGACGGUGUUUGUGAGAUGUAGAUGUUUGUGAGAUGUAGACGUUUGUGAGAUGUAGAUGUUUGUGAGAUGUAGACGUUUGUGAGAUGUAGACGUUUAUGAGAUGUAGGUGUUUGUGAGAUGUAGAUGUUUGUGAGUUGUAGGUGUUUGUGUGAUGUAGGUAUUUGUGAGAUGUGUAUUGUAAUCAUCGGUGAAUGACCUCUAUUGUUAUUAGGUCAUUGUCUAUCAUGAUAGGACAUUAUGUAAGGUUGUAAGCAUUCCACUUGCCAAAGAAUUCCAGACAUACCAAGAAUUAUGCUAUCUUGUUAAUGACUGUGUUUGUUGUUAUAAUUUAUUCCAUUUGUUGUUGAAUGUAUUUAUUAAGAGGAAAAUUAAAAUCAUUUCAAAAGA